UACGUAGGGGGGCUAGCGUUUGUCCGGAAUCAUUGGGCGUAAAGAGCGCGUAGGCGGCUGGAAUAGUCCGGUGUGAAAUCCACAGGCUUAACCUGUGAAUGCCGCUGGAAACUGUCUGGCUAGAGUCCGGAAGGGGCGAGUGGAAUUCCUGGUGUAGCGGUGAAAUGCGCAGAUAUCAGGAGGAACACCAAUGGCGAAAGCGAGCUGCUGGACCUUUUCUGACGCUGAGGCGCGAAAGCCAGGGGGAGCAAACGGG
rnacentral:rRNA from 1 species